AAACUACAGGAUGGAUACUUAUAAAAGAUAAGGGAAGUAUAGUGCAUAGGUUGCUGAGAGGUGGAGAGAAAGUUGCUUACUUUUCCUGAGCCUCAACUUUCUGAAAACAUAGAAACACAAUUAGAUGAUGAGUUAUGAGGUGAAGGAGGGGAUGACUCAGCAGCAAUGUGCCAGCUCCAUAGUGACUUCUCCACCAAGCUGGAGAAGGAUUUGCAGCAAUGGUUCCAGAACCAACUGUGUGUAUCUACAGGAUGAAGAUCAUUUAGACUAUGAUCAUUUAGACUGUAUCACUUUUGGCCAAGAGCUGGGGACACAGUGGUGAAUAAGACACAGGCCUAUCCUCAUGAAGCUUAUAUUAAUGGGGGACAAAGGAUAAUAAUCACAUAAGCAAACAAAUAAAUACAUGAG
rnacentral:lncRNA from 1 species